rnacentral:rRNA from 1 species
GACAGAGGGGGCAAGCGUUGCUCGGAAUUACUGGGCGUAAAGGGCGCGUAGGCGGGCUGGCAAGUCGGUCGUGAAAUCCUUCGGCUCAACCGAAGAACGUCGAUCGAUACUGCUGUUCUUGAGGGUUGCAGAGGAGACUGGAAUUCCCGGUGUAGCGGUGAAAUGCGCAGAUAUCAGGAGGAACACCAGCGGCGAAGGCGGGCAUCUGGGCUAACACUGACGCUGAGGCGCGAAAGCUAGGGGAGCAAACAGG